UACGGAGGGUGCAAGCGUUGUUCGGAAUUAUUGGGCGUAAAGCGCGCGCAGGCGGCUCUGCAAGUCCAUGGGUGAAAGGCCGGGGCUCAACCCCGUGUGUGCCCAGGAUACUGCGGAGCUGGAGACACGUAGAGGCAAGCGGAAUUCCGGGUGUAGCGGUGGAAUGCGUAGAGAUCCGGAAGAACACCGGAGGCGAAGGCGGCUUGCUGGGCGUGAUCUGACGCUGAGGCGCGAAAGCGUGGGGAGCGAACAGG
rnacentral:rRNA from 1 species